UCAGUUGUGGAGGCGCAUAAGAACCCAGCUACCCAGUGAGCAAACUUGCAGAGGACGGAGGACGUCAGUUACCACCUCUGACUCCAAUUUUGUGUACAUAUAUAUAAAUUAAUGAUGAGCUGAUUGCUUCCCCUUUUUUCUCCAUACCUGUGUACAUCUAUAGAGAGGUAUACCAGAAAGGCUAUAGCGGAACAAAAUGGAGAAUUUUGAUCCAAUUUCAGUUGAUUUUCUGUGGUUUCUGAGUGACUGAAUUCAUUCUUUUGGUAUACUGCAAAGAUAGCUGCCCCUUAGCUAAGUGGUCAUUAAGUUGUUGUGACUAUGAUUCUUUGAGCUGACCUAACAACAAAUGAUGAUGGUUCUGUUUUCUAACAUGAGUGUUGUAUUGGUUCCUGCCCC
rnacentral:sRNA from 1 species